UAGUGGCGAACGGGUGAGUAACACGUGGGCAAUCUGCCCUUCACUCUGGGACAAGCCCUGGAAACGGGGUCUAAUACCGGAUAACACUCUUACGGGCAUCUGUGAGGGUUAAAAGCUCCGGCGGUGAAGGAUGAGCCCGCGGCCUAUCAGCUUGUUGGUGAGGUAAUGGCUCACCAAGGCGACGACGGGUAGCCGGCCUGAGAGGGCGACCGGCCACACUGGGACUGAGACACGGCCCAGACUCCUACGGGAGGCAGCAGUGGGGAAUAUUGCACAAUGGGCGAAAGCCUGAUGCAGCGACGCCGCGUGAGGGAUGACGGCCUUCGGGUUGUAAACCUCUUUCAGCAGGGAAGAAGCGAAAGUGACGGUACCUGCAGAAGAAGCGCCGGCUAACUACGUGCCAGCAGCCGCGGUAAUACGUAGGGCGCAAGCGUUGUCCGGAAUUAUUGGGCGUAAAGAGCUCGUAGGCGGCUUGUCACGUCGAUUGUGAAAGCCCGAGGCUUAACCUCGGGUCUGCAGUCGAUACGGGCUAGCUAGAGUGUGGUAGGGGAGAUCGGAAUUCCU
rnacentral:rRNA from 2 species